GCACAGAUGUCAGAGGUGCAUGACGCUUUCUGUUUUUGGCUCAACACGAGAUACAAAACAAAGGCAGAAUUUACAAGAAAUAUAGCAUGGGAGAGCAAAUAUGGAGCAGCACAAACUGCAGGAUAAUUAAACCGACAGGAGAGAAAGAGAAAUAUGGCGAACAAAUAAGACAAAAUGUUACGAUCUAAAGAACCAAAGACGCUGAGUCUACUCAGACAAAACAGCAUUAAUAGCGGCAAACCAAACUUUUCUCAUGUUGCACAGAUUCAUUCUGGUGUUUCAGAGCGAGUCACAGACGAGGAAGCAGUGAUUCAUCUAACCAGCAGAAUAUUCUCCAUCAUGUUCAGACACUGAUUAAACAAUGUAUAGAUGAUUAUGUAUAAAUGGUUGUUAUAUUUAUAAAGUGCAUGUUUGGAUUUCAUGAGUGCACUACAUGUUCUGAAUGAAUCUGAUCUGAAUGUGACAUUUACAGUGAUCAUUGAUGUAAUCAGAGUUUUUGCUGUAUGCUACUGUAUGAUGUAAUGUAGAUACUUAAUAUAUAUUUUUUAACAAAAAUAUUUUUCUGUAAAAAAAAAAAAUAUCUGUAAAAAAUAUUUUUCUAUAAAAAAAAAAAAUCUGUACAACUCGAGGAGAAAAUAAACAACUUCCUGU